AUUGAACGCUGGCGGCAGGCCUAACACAUGCAAGUCGAGCGAGCGGCGGACGGGUGAGUAAUGUAUGGGGAUCUGCCCGAUAGAGGGGGAUAACUACUGGAAACGGUGGCUAAUACCGCAUACCAUCGGAUGUGCCCAGAUGGGAUUAGCUAGUAGGUGGGGUAACGGCUCACCUAGGCGACGAUCCCUAGCUGGUCUGAGAGGAUGAACAGCCACACGGGAACUGAGACACGGUCCAGAAUCCUGCGGGAGGCAGCAGUGGGGAAUAUUGGACAAUGGGAGCAAGCCUGAUGCAGCCAUGCAGCAUGUAUGAAGAAGGCCUUCGGGUUGUAAAGUACUUUCAGCGAGGAGGCGUUACUCGCAGAAGAAGCACCGGCUAACUCCGUGCCAGCAGCCGCGGUAAUA
rnacentral:rRNA from 1 species